rnacentral:rRNA from 1 species
UACGUAGGGUGCAAGCGUUAAUCGGAAUACUGGGCGUAAAGCGUGCGCAGGCGGUGAUGUAAGACCGAUGUGAAAUCCCCGGGCUUAACCUGGGAACUGCAUUGGUGACUGCAUUGCUAGAGUAUGGCAGAGGGGGGGUGGAAUUCCACGUGUAGCAGUGAAAUGCGUAGAGAUGUGGAGGAACACCGAUGGCGAAGGCAGCCCCCUGGGCCAAUACUGACGCUCAUGCACGAA